ACAACCAUCAAGCACGGCUUGGUAUUGGGCGUCACCCGUGGGUGCGCCUUAAAACCAGCGGCGGCGUCGCCCGGCUCCAAGCGCAGUAAUGCUCUCGCUCAUGGGGUUGGGGUGCGCGUCUGCCACAAAACCCCUCUAUCACAAGGU
rnacentral:misc_RNA from 1 species